rnacentral:rRNA from 1 species
GACGAACGCUGGCGGCGUGCUUAACACAUGCAAGUCGAACGGAAAGGCCCUGCUUGCAGGGUACUCGAGUGGCGAACGGGUGAGUAACACGUGGGUGAUCUGCCCUGCACUUCGGGAUAAGCCUGGGAAACUGGGUCUAAUACCGGAUAGGAGCCAUUUUUAGUGUGAUGGUUGGAAAGUUUUUUCGGUGUAGGAUGAGCUCGCGGCCUAUCAGCUUGUUGGUGGGGUAAUGGCCUACCAAGGCGGCGGCGGGUAGCCGGCCUGAGAGGGUGGACGGCCACAUUGGGACUGAGAUACGGCCCAGACUCCGACGGGAGGCAGCAGUGGGGAAGAUUGCACAAUGGGCGCAAGCCUGAUGCAGCGACGCCGCGUGGGGGAUGACGGCCUUCGGGUUGUAAACUCCUUUCGCUAGGGACGAAGCUUUUUGUGACGGUACCUAGAUAAGAAGCACCGGCUAACUACGUG